CCCACCAAACCUAUAACGGGUACGGGCCGUGAGAGCGGGAGCCCAGGAGAUGGGCACUGAGACAAGGGCCCCAGGCUCUACGGAGCGCACCAAGCGCGAAACCUUCGCAAUGCGCGAAAGCGUGACGGGGCUAUCCCGAGUGCUAGCCGCUGAGGCUAGCUUUUGCUCAGUGUAAGAAGCUGAGCGAAUAAGUGGGGGGCAAGACUGGUGUCAGCCGCCGCGGUAAUACCAGCUCCACGAGUGGUCAGGACGGUUAUUGGGCCUAAAGCGUCCGUAGCCGGCUCAGCAAGUUUAUGGUGAAAUCCGUCGUCUCAAGCGUCGGAGUGCUGUAAAUACUGCUGGGCUAGGGAGCGGGAGAGGCCGGGGGUACCUCCGGGGUAGGGGCGAAAUCCUAUAAUCCCGGAGUGACGACCAGUGGCGAAAGCGCCCGGCUAGAACGCGUCCGACGGUGAGGGACGAAAGCUGGGGUAGCAAACCGGAUUAGAUACCCGGGUAGUCCCAGCCGUAAACUAUGCGGGCUAGUUGUCGGGACGGCUUAGGGCCGCUCCGGUAACGCAGGGAAGCCAUUAAGCCCGCCGCCUGGGGAGUACGACCGCAAGGUUGAAACUUAAAGGAAUUGGCGGGGGAGCACCACAAGGGGUGAAGCUUGCGGCUCAAUUGGAGUCAACGCCGGAAAACUCACCAGGGGAGACAGCAGUGUGAAGGCCAAGCUAACGACUUUGCCAGACGCGCUGAGAGGAGGCGCAUGGCCGUCACCAGCUCGUAUCGUGAGACGUCCGGUCAAGUCCGGGAACGAGCGAGACCUCCAUCUCUAGUUGCGACCCUUCAAGGGGCACACUGGAGAGACCGCCACCGAUUAAGGUGGAGGAAGGAGGAGGCAACGGCAGGUCAGCAUGCCCCGAAACCCCUGGGCCGCACGCGAGCUGCAAUGGCAGGUACAAUGGGAUUUGACCCCGUAAGGGGGAAGCAAUCCUCAAAGCCUGCCUCAGU
rnacentral:rRNA from 1 species